UCCUGACUGACCGAUAGUGAACCAGUACCGUGAGGGAAAGGCGAAAAGAACCCCGGCGAGGGGAGUGAAAAAGAACCUGAAACCGUGUACGUACAAGCAGUGGGAGCACGCUUAGGCGUGUGACUGCGUACCUUUUGUAUAAUGGGUCAGCGACUUAUAUUCUGUAGCAAGGUUAACCGAAUAGGGGAGCCGAAGGGAAACCGAGUCUUAACUGGGCGUUAAGUUGCAGGGUAUAGACCCGAAACCCGGUGAUCUAGCCAUGGGCAGGUUGAAGGUUGGGUAACACUAACUGGAGGACCGAACCGACUAAUGUUGAAAAAUUAGCGGAUGACUUGUGGCUGGGGGUGAAAGGCCAAUCAAACCGGGAGAUAGCUGGUUCUCCCCGAAAGCUAUUUAGGUAGCGCCUCGUGAAUUCAUCUCCGGGGGUAGAGCACUGUUUCGGCAAGGGGGUCAUCCCGACUUACCAACCCGAUGCAAACUGCGAAUACCGGAGAAUGUUAUCACGGGAGACACACGGCGGGUGCUAACGUCCGUCGUGAAGAGGGAAACAACCCAGACCGCCAGCUAAGGUCCCAAAGUCAUGGUUAAGUGGGAAACGAUGUGGGAAGGCCCAGACAGCCAGGAUGUUGGCUUAGAAGCAGCCAUCAUUUAAAGAAAGCGUAAUAGCUCACUGGUCGAGUCGGCCUGCGCGGAAGAUGUAACGGGGCUAAACCAUGCACCGAAGCUGCGGCAGCGACGCUUAUGCGUUGUUGGGUAGGGGAGCGUUCUGUAAGCCUGCGAAGGUGUGCUGUGAGGCAUGCUGGAGGUAUCAGAAGUGCGAAUGCUGACAUAAGUAACGAUAAAGCGGGUGAAAAGCCCGCUCGCCGGAAGACCAAGGGUUCCUGUCCAACGUUAAUCGGGGCAGGGUGAGUCGACCCCUAAGGCGAGGCCGAAAGGCGUAGUCGAUGGGAAACAGGUUAAUAUUCCUGUACUUGGUGUUACUGCGAAGGGGGGACGGAGAAGGCUAUGUUGGCCGGGCGACGGUUGUCCC
rnacentral:rRNA from 1 species